rnacentral:rRNA from 1 species
UUUAUGGAGAGUUUGAUCCUGGCUCAGGAUGAACGCUGGCGGCGUGCCUAAUACAUGCAAGUCGAGCGAACAGAUAAGGAGCUUGCUCCUUUGACGUUAGCGGCGGACGGGUGAGUAACACGUGGGUAACCUACCUAUAAGACUGGAAUAACUCCGGGAAACCGGGGCUAAUGCCGGAUAACAUGUUGAACCGCAUGGUUCUACAGUGAAAGACGGUCUUGCUGUCACUUAUAGAUGGACCCGCGCCGUAUUAGCUAGUUGGUGGGGUAACGGCCUACCAAGGCGACGAUACGUAGCCGACCUGAGAGGGUGAUCGGCCACACUGGAACUGAGACACGGUCCAGACUCCUACGGGAGGCAGCAGUAGGGAAUCUUCCGCAAUGGGCGAAAGCCUGACGGAGCAACGCCGCGUGAGUGAUGAAGGUCUUCGGAUCGUAAAGCUCUGUUGUUAGGGAAGAACAAAUGUGUAAGUAACUGUGCACAUCUUGACGGUACCUAACCAGAAAGCCACGGCUAACUACGUGCCAGCAGCCGCGGUAAUACGUAGGUGGCAAGCGUUAUCCGGAAUUAUUGGGCGUAAAGCGCGCGUAGGCGGUUUUUUAAGUCUGAUGUGAAAGCCCACGGCUCAACCGUGGAGGGUCAUUGGAAACUGGAAAACUUGAGUGCAGAAGAGGAAAGUGGAAUUCCAUGUGUGGUGAAAUGCGCAGAGAUAUGGAGGAACACCAGUGGCGAAGGCGGCUUUCUGGUCUGCAACUGACGCUGAUGUGCGAAAGCGUGGGGAUCAAACAGGAUUAGAUACCCUGGUAGUCCACGCCGUAAACGAUGAGUGCUAAGUGUUAGGGGGUUUCCGCCCCUUAGUGCUGCAGCUAACGCAUUAAGCACUCCGCAGGGGAGUACGGUCGCAAGACUGAAACUCAAAGGAAUUGACGGGGACCCGCACAAGCGGUGGAGCAUGUGGUUUAAUUCGAAGCAACGCGAAGAACCUUACCAAAUCUUGACAUCCUUUGACCGCUCUAGAGAUAGAGUUUUCCUCUUCGGAGGACAAAGUGACAGGUGGUGCAUGGUUGUCGUCAGCUCGUGUCGUGAGAUGUUGGGUUAAGUCCCGCAACGAGCGCAACCCUUGAACUUAGUUGCCAUCAUUCAGUUGGGCACUCUAAGUUGACUGCCGGUGACAAACCGGAGGAAGGUGGGGAUGACGUCAAAUCAUCAUGCCCCUUAUGAUUUGGGCUACACACGUGCUACAAUGGACAAUACAAAGGGCAGCGAAACCGCGAGGUCAAGCAAAUCCCAUAAAGUUGUUCUCAGUUCGGAUUGUAGUCUGCAACUCGACUACAUGAAGCUGGAAUCGCUAGUAAUCGUAGAUCAGCAUGCUACGGUGAAUACGUUCCCGGGUCUUGUACACCGCCCGUCACACCACGAGUUUGUAACGCCCUUUGUAUUGUCCAUUGUAGCACGUGUGUAGCCCAAAUCAUAAGGGGGACAAAUGAUUGGGGUGAAGUCGUAACAAGGUAGCCGUAUCGGAAGGUGCGGCUGGAUCACCUCCUUUCU